GGGGCAGUAGCUCAAUUGGGAGAGCGCCGCGUUCGCAAUGCGGAGGUUGUGAGUUCGAGCCUCAUCUGCUCCA
rnacentral:tRNA from 1 species